CUAAAGCACCAAGCUGCCUAACCAGACAGCACAAUUCCAAAGACGAUUAACAGAUGAAAAUAAUCAGUGAGAAAACCUUCAGAAACUCAUUCUGAUAUCAGGAAAUACAUCCAGGAUUAUUGUUCCAGUCUACAGCUGAGAUUACCAACUGUGAAGGUCACCUAAUAAGAGUACUUAUUGUUCUGGUCACAUUUCCAUGAAGGAAGCUUGGUUUCCUCUAUUCCUUUUCCAAGAAGGUCUUCCACCUGCAAAAACAAUCACUU